CCUACGGGAUGCAGCAGUGGGGAAUAUUGCACAAUGGGGGAAACCCUGAUGCAGCGACGCCGCGUGAGUGAAGAAGUAAUUCGUUAUGUAAAGCUCUAUCAGCAGGGAAGAAAAUGACGGUACCUGAGUAAGAAGCCCCGGCUAACUACGUGCCAGCAGCCGCGGUCAUACGUAGGGGGCAAGCGUUAUCCGGAUUUACUGGGUGUAAAGGGAGCGUAGACGGCAGUGCAAGUCUGGAGUGAAAGGCGGGGGCUCAACCCCCGGACUGCUCUGGAAACUGUACGGCUGGAGUGCAGGAGAGGUAAGUGGAAUUCCUAGUGUAGCGGUGAAAUGCGUAGAUAUUAGGAGGAACACCAGUGGCGAAGGCGGCUUACUGGACUGUAACUGACGUUGAGGCUCGAAAGCGUGGGGAGCAAACAGGAUUAGAUACCCUAGUAGUC
rnacentral:rRNA from 1 species